rnacentral:rRNA from 1 species
CCUACGGGAGGCAGCAGUGAGGAAUAUUGGUCAAUGGGCGCUAGCCUGAACCAGCCAAGUAGCGUGAAGGAUGACUGCCCUAUGUGUUGUAAACUUCUUUUAUAUGGGAAUAAAGUGCAGUAUGUAUACUGCUUUGCAUGUACCUUAUGAAUAAGGAUCGGCUAACUCCGCUCCAGCAGCCGCGGUUAUACGGAGGAUCCGAGCGUUAUACGGAUUUAUUGGGUGUAAAGGGAGCGUAGGCGGGUUGUUAAGUCAGUUGUGAAAGUUUGCGGCUCAACCGUAAAAUUGCAGUUGAUACUGGCAGCCUUGAGUUCAGUAGAGGUAGGCGGAAUUCGUGGUGUAGCGGUGAAAUGCUGAGAUAUCACGAAGAACUCCGAUUGCGAAGGCAGCCUGCUGGACUGUAACUGACGCUGAUGCUCGAAAGUGUGGGUAUCAAACAGGAUUAGAUACCCCAGUAGUC